rnacentral:rRNA from 1 species
GAGUGAAGAGGGAAGAGCUCAUCAUUGGAAUCUGGCAGUGUUUCACUGUCCGAGUUGUAGAUGAGGAGUAGUCCGUCUGGACUGCAUGGCGUCCAAGUACAAUAGGCCGUCAGUGGGACAUCAUAGAGGGUGACAAUCCCGUCCUUGACGCCAAUGUGCAAGUCUAUUACGAUGGCUAUCUCAGAGAGUCGAGCAGUUUGGGAUUUGCUGCUUAAACAUGGGAGGUAGAUUCCUUCUAAAGCUAAAUACAGGCGAGAGACCGAUAGAGAACAAGUACCGCAAGGGAAAGAUGAAAUAGCACUCUGUGAAGGGAGUCAAAAGGCGUGAAAUUGUUGCGAGAGAAGCGAUUCAAGUCAGCGUAGCUAGGCCCAUCAAGCGUCUUCGCUUUGGACUAGCUUUGCCAGCGGUCUUGUCCCUUAAAGAGACUUGACUUGUAAUAUGUCCAGCCUGGCGUGCACAGGCAGCCCCUUCUGGGGGCCAGUGACAUGGCUGGUGGAAUGGCUUGCAAUCGACCCGUCUUGAAACACGGACCAAGGAGUCUAACAUGUAUGCGAGUAUAAGGGUGGCAAACCCGUAUGCGCAAUGAAAGUGAUUUUCGGUGAUUGAGAAUGGCCUGAUGACCAGACAAGCAAUAUAUGUCCCUCGUACGGCCAUUGCCCAAGUUCCGUGGUAGAUCCCACGAACAUGGAGUUGGAGCAUACAUGCUAGGACCCGAAAGAUGGUGAACUAUGCCUGGACAAAGCGAAGCCAAAGGAAACUCUGGUGGAGGCUUGUAGCGAUUCUGACGUGCAAAUCGAUCGUCUGAUCUGGGUAUAGGGGCGAAAGACUAAUC